UGCCCAAGUGUGGCAUAGUGGUUUGAGUGUUGGACUACAACUCUGGAGACCUGGGUUCGAUUCCAAGUGGGGAA